CCUACGGGAGGCAGCAGUGAGGAAUAUUGGUCAAUGGCCGUAAGGCUGAACCAGCCAAGUCGCGUGAGGGAAUAAGGCCCUAUGGGUCGUAAACCUCUUUUGUCAGGGAGCAAAGGCGUCCACGUGUGGACGAGAGGAGAGUACCUGAGGAAAAGGCAUCGGCUAACUCGUGGCCAGCAGCCGCGGUAAUACGGAGGAUGCGAGGGUUAUCCGGAUUUUUUGGGUUUAAGGGGUGCGUAGGCGGAGUGUCAGGUCAGCGGUAAAAUUUCGGGGCUCAACCUCGUCGUGCCGUUGAAACUGGCGGCCUUGAGUGAGUGAGAAGUAAGCGGAAUGCGUGGUGUAGCGGUGAAAUGCAUAGAUAUCACGCAGAACGCCGAUUGCGAAGGCAGCUUACCGGCGCUCAACUGACGCUGAGGCACGAAAGUGCGGGUAUCGAACAGGAUUAGAUACCCGAGUAGUC
rnacentral:rRNA from 1 species